rnacentral:rRNA from 1 species
GACGAACGCUGGCGGCGCGCUUAACACAUGCAAGUCAAGCGAUAACCAUGGCUUCGGCCAUGGGGAGAGCGGCGAACGGGUGAGUAACACGUGAGUGAUCUGCCCUCGACACCGGGAUAGCCCGGGGAAACCCGGAUUAAUACCGGAUGGCCUCUGGAGCCCACGGGCUCGCGAGAAAAGAUGGCUUCGGCUUUCGGUCGAGGAGGAGCCGGCGGCGGAUUAGCCUGUGGGUGGGGUAACGGCUCACCGAGGCGACGAUCCGUAGCUGGUCUGAGAGGACGAUCAGCCACACUGGGACUGAGACACGGCCCAGACUCCUACGGGAGGCAGCAGUGGGGAAUCUUGCGCAAUGGGCGAAAGCCUGACGCAGCGACGCCGCGUGAGGGAAGAAGGCCUUCGGGUUGUAAACCUCUUUCAGGAGGGACGAAGCUACUCGGGUGAAUACCCCAGAGGGUGACGGUACCUCCAGAAGAAGCCCCGGCUAACUACGUGCCAGCAGCCGCCGUAAGAC